GGGGACGCUGCUGGCCCCAGGCCUCAGGUCAGUCUGCAGAGUGAGGACGUGGUCAUGGCCCACGGCGAGUAACGAACUGAGACGAAGCCCUGGGCCUUGCUUUUCAGGCAUGCAAUUAGCUGCACAGGGUUGUUGCCUGAAGAUUCACCUUCCACGUGGU